GCCGAUGUCUGAUUAGCUAGUUGGUGAGGUAAAGGCUUACCAAGGCGACGAUCAGUAGCUGGUCUGAGAGGACGACCAGCCACACUGGGACUGAGACACGGCCCAGACUCCUACGGGAGGCAGCAGUGGGGAAUUUUGGACAAUGGGGGAAACCCUGAUCCAGCCAUGCCGCGUGAGUGAAGAAGGCCUUCGGGUUGUAAAGCUCUUUCAGCCGGAACGAAACGGUCACGGCUAAUACCUGUGACUACUGACGGUACCGGAAGAAGA
rnacentral:rRNA from 6 species